rnacentral:misc_RNA from 1 species
CGUGCUAGGCCCCUUCACCCUCACUCUGUAGCGUGGCCCGGGCGUACAAGGCCCCUUCAACCAGCUUACUAACUGAUAAGAAUACAACAGAACGACCGAAAAGAACUAAAAUACCGAUGUACCCACUAAUAAAAGAAAAUAAAACGAUGAUCGAUGUACCCACUAAUCACCACCAAAUAUUGCAACUAACUUGCACACUAGCUAAAAACAGA